CUGAGUACGGCGGAACACGUGAAAUUCCGUCGGAAUCCGGGAGGACCAUCUCCCAAGGCUAAAUACUCCCUAGUGACCGAUAGUGAACCAGUACCGUGAGGGAAAGGUGAAAAGCACCCCGGAAGGGGAGUGAAACAGUUCCUGAAACCGUGUGCCUACAAGUAGUUAGAGCCCGUUAAUGGGUGAUAGCGUGCCUUUUGUAGAAUGAACCGGCGAGUUACGAUUUGUUGCAAGGUUAAGCGGAAAAAGCGGAGCCGUAGCGAAAGCGAGUCUGAAUAGGGCGCAUAAGUAACAGGUCGUAGACCCGAAACCAGGUGAUCUACCCAUGUCCAGGAUGAAGGUAAGGUAAUACUUACUGGAGGUCCGAACCCACGCACGUUGAAAAGUGCGGGGAUGAGGUGUGGGUAGCGGAGAAAUUCCAAUCGAACUUGGAGAUAGCUGGUUCUCUCCGAAAUAGCUUUAGGGCUAGCCUCGAGGUAAAGAGUCAUGGAGGUAGAGCACUGUUUGGACUAGGGGCCCUUCUCGGGUUACCGAAUUCAGAUAAACUCCGAAUGCCAUGUACUUAUACUCGGGAGUCAGACUGCGAGUGAUAAGAUCCGUAGUCGAAAGGGAAACAGCCCAGACCACCAGUUAAGGUCCCCAAAUAUAUGUUAAGUGGAAAAGGAUGUGGGGUUGCUUAGACAACCAGGAUGUUGGCUUAGAAGCAGCCACCAUUGAAAGAGUGCGUAAUAGCUCACUGGUCGAGUGACCCCGCGCCGAAAAUGUACCGGGGCUAAACAUAUUACCGAAACUGUGGAUGAACCUCUUUAGAGGUUCGUGGUAGGAGAGCGUUCUAAGGGCGGUGAAGUCAGACCGGAAGGACUGGUGGAGCGCUUAGAAGUGAGAAUGCCGGUAUGAGUAGCGAAAGAAGGGUGAGAAUCCCUUCCACCGAAUAUCUAAGGUUUCCUGAGGAAGGCUCGUCCGCUCAGGGUUAGUCGGGACCUAAGCCGAGGCCGAUAGGCGUAGGCGAUGGACAACAGGUAGAGAUUCCUGUACCAGUGCUAAUUGUUUAACCGAUGGGGUGACACAGAAGGAUAGGGAAUCGCACGAAUGGAAAUGUGCGUCCAAGCAGUGAGUGUGAGAAGUAGGCAAAUCCGCUUCUCGCGAAGCAUGAGCUGUGAUGGGGAAGGAAAUUAAGUACGGAAGUUCCUGAUUUCACGCUGUCAAGAAAAGCCUCUAGGAAGAGUAGUACUGCCCGUACCGCAAACCGACACAGGUAGAUGAGGAGAGAAUCCUAAGGUGAGCGAGAGAACUCUCGUUAAGGAACUCGGCAAAAUGACCCCGUAACUUCGGGAGAAGGGGUGCUCUAUUAGGGUGCAAGCCCGAGAGAGCCGCAGUGAAUAGGCCCAGGCGACUGUUUAGCAAAAACACAGGUCUCUGCAAAACCGUAAGGUGACGUAUAGGGGCUGACGCCUGCCCGGUGCUGGAAGGUUAAGAGGAGUGCUUAGCUUCGGCGAAGGUACGAAUUGAAGCCCCAGUAAACGGCGGCCGUAACUAUAACGGUCCUAAGGUAGCGAAAUUCCUUGUCGGGUAAGUUCCGACCCGCACGAAAGGCGCAACGAUCUGGGCACUGUCUCAACGAGAGACUCGGUGAAAUUAUAGUACCUGUGAAGAUGCAGGUUACCCGCGACAGGACGGAAAGACCCCGUGGAGCUUUACUGCAACCUGAUAUGGAAUGUUUGUACCGCUUGUACAGGAUAGGUAGGAGCCGAAGAGACGUGUGCGCUAGCAUACGAGGAGGCAAUGGUGGGAUACUACCCUGGCUGUAUGACCAUUCUAACCCGCCACGCUUAGCGCGUGGGGAGACAGUGUCAGGUGGGCAGUUUGACUGGGGCGGUCGCCUCCUAAAGAGUAACGGAGGCGCCCAAAGGUUCCCUCAGAAUGGAUGGAAAUCAUUCGCAGAGUGUAAAGGCACAAGGGAGCUUGACUGCGAGACUGACAAGUCGAGCAGGGACGAAAGUCGGGCUUAGUGAUCCGGUGGUUCCGCAUGGAAGGGCCAUCGCUCAACGGAUAAAAGCUACCCCGGGGAUAACAGGCUUAUCUCCCCCAAGAGUCCACAUCGACGGGGAGGUUUGGCACCUCGAUGUCGGCUCGUCGCAUCCUGGGGCUGUAGUCGGUCCCAAGGGUUGGGCUGUUCGCCCAUUAAAGCGGCACGCGAGCUGGGUUCAGAACGUCGUGAGACAGUUCGGUCCCUAUCCGUCGCGGGCGCAGGAAAUUUGAGAGGAGCUGUCCUUAGUACGAGAGGACCGGGAUGGACACACCGCUGGUGUACCAGUUGUUCCGCCAGGAGCAUCGCUGGGUAGCUAUGUGUGGCAGGGAUAAACGCUGAAAGCAUCUAAGCGUGAAGCCCCCCUCAAGAUGAGAUUUCCCAUUUCUUCGGAAAGUAAGAUCCCUGAAA
rnacentral:rRNA from 1 species